rnacentral:rRNA from 1 species
AUUGAACGCUGGCGGCAGGCCUAACACAUGCAAGUCGAGCGGUAGAGAGAAGCUUGCUUCUCUUGAGAGCGGCGGACGGGUGAGUAAUGCCUAGGAAUCUGCCUGGUAGUGGGGGAUAACGUUCGGAAACGGACGCUAAUACCGCAUACGUCCUACGGGAGAAAGCAGGGGACCUUCGGGCCUUGCGCUAUCAGAUGAGCCUAGGUCGGAUUAGCUAGUUGGUGAGGUAAUGGCUCACCAAGGCGACGAUCCGUAACUGGUCUGAGAGGAUGAUCAGUCACACUGGAACUGAGACACGGUCCAGACUCCUACGAGAGGCAGCAGUGGGGAAUAUUGGACAAUGGGCGAAAGCCUGAUCCAGCCAUGCCGCGUGUGUGAAGAAGGUCUUCGGAUUGUAAAGCACUUUAAGUUGGGAGGAAGGGUUGUAGAUUAAUACUCUGCAAUUUUGACGUUACCGACAGAAUAAGCACCGGCUAACUCUGUGCCAGCAGCCGCGGUAAUACAGAGGGUGCAAGCGUUAAUCGGAAUUACUGGGCGUAAAGCGCGCGUAGGUGGUUUGUUAAGUUGGAUGUGAAAUCCCCGGGCUCAACCUGGGAACUGCAUUCAAAACUGACUGACUAGAGUAUGGUAGAGGGUGGUGGAAUUUCCUGUGUAGCGGUGAAAUGCGUAGAUAUAGGAAGGAACACCAGUGGCGAAGGCGACCACCUGGACUAAUACUGACACUGAGGUGCGAAAGCGUGGGGAGCAAACAGG